UACGUGAGGGGCUAGCGUUGUCCGGAAUCAUUGGGCGUAAAGCGCGUGUAGGCGGUCCGGUAAGUCCGCUGUGAAAGUCGAGGGCUCAACCCUCGAAUGCCGGUGGAUACUGUCGGGCUAGAGUGCGGAAGAGGCGAGUGGAAUUCCUGGUGUAGCGGUGAAAUGCGCAGAUAUCAGGAGGAACACCAAUGGCGAAGGCAGCUCGCUGGAACGGUACUGACGCUGAGGCGCGAAAGCGUGGGGAGCAAACAGG
rnacentral:rRNA from 1 species